UACGGGGGGGGCAAGCGUUGUUCGGAAUUACUGGGCGUAAAGGGCGCGUAGGCGGCCUGCUAAGUCGGAUGUGAAAUCCCUCGGCUCAACCGAGGAACUGCAUCCGAUACUGGCGGGCUUGAAUCCGGGAGAGGGAUGUGGAAUUCCAGGUGUAGCGGUGAAAUGCGUAGAGAUCAUGAGGAAGACCAGUGGCGAAGGCGGGUCUCUGGACAGUUCCUGACACUGAGGCACGAAGGCCAGGGGAGCAAACGGG
rnacentral:rRNA from 1 species